UACGUGGGGGGCAAGCGUUGUUCGGAAUUACUGGGCGUAAAGGGCUCGUAGGCGGCCAAUUAAGUCAGACGUGAAAUCCCUCGGCUUAACCGGGGAACGGCGUCUGAUACUGGAUGGCUUGAAUCCGGGAGAGGGAUGCGGAAUUCCAGGUGUAGCGGUGAAAUGCGUAGAUAUCUGGAGGAACACCGGUGGCGAAGGCGGCAUCCUGGACCGGUAUUGACGCUGAGGAGCGAAAGCCAGGGGAGCAAACGGG
rnacentral:rRNA from 1 species